rnacentral:rRNA from 1 species
GCGAGCGGAACCACAGAUUUACUUCGGUAAUGACGUUGGGAAAGCGAGCGGCGGAUGGGUGAGUAACACGUGGGGAACCUGCCCCUAAGUCUGGGAUACCAUUUGGAAACAGGUGCUAAUACCGGAUAAUAAAGCAGAUCGCAUGAUCAGCUUUUGAAAGGCGGCGUAAGCUGUCGCUAAGGGAUGGCCCCGCGGUGCAUUAGCUAGUUGGUAAGGUAACGGCUUACCAAGGCGACGAUGCAUAGCCGAGUUGAGAGACUGAUCGGCCACAUUGGGACUGAGACACGGCCCAAACUCCUACGGGAGGCAGCAGUAGGGAAUCUUCCACAAUGGACGCAAGUCUGAUGGAGCAACGCCGCGUGAGUGAAGAAGGUUUUCGGAUCGUAAAGCUCUGUUGUUGGUGAAGAAGGAUAGAGGUAGUAACUGGCCUUUAUUUGACGGUAAUCAACCAGAAAGUCACGGCUAACUACGUGCCAGCAGCCGCGGUAAUACGUAGGUGGCAAGCGUUGUCCGGAUUUAUUGGGCGUAAAGCGAGCGCAGGCGGAAAAAUAAGUCUAAUGUGAAAGCCCUCGGCUUAACCGAGGAACUGCAUCGGAAACUGUUUUUCUUGAGUGCAGAAGAGGAGAGUGGAACUCCAUGUGUAGCGGUGGAAUGCGUAGAUAUAUGGAAGAACACCAGUGGCGAAGGCGGCUCUCUGGUCUGCAACUGACGCUGAGGCUCGAAAGCAUGGGUAGCGAACAGGAUUAGAUACCCUGGUAGUCCAUGCCGUAAACGAUGAGUGCUAAGUGUUGGGAGGUUUCCGCCUCUCAGUGCUGCAGCUAACGCAUUA